rnacentral:lncRNA from 1 species
AUUUUUUUUCUAAAGCUGUUGUUUGCCAAGCUGGCUAACCUACACUCUCUGAAUAGGGAUUGGUUGUAGUAUUAUUAGUGAAGGUAUAGUCUGUUUUUUUACGUACUUUCAAUUUGUGUGAAUUGGGGGUUCAAUAAACCUCACUUAAGACUACUGCUAGAAAUGUUAAAACAACCAUCAUCGGCCUCUCAAAAACUAGAGAACUUUGAGGAGAUGAAAUUGUGCACAGCGUCCUUGGUCUCCCUGAACCACGGACAGAACGCGCCUGUAAUUUACUCACUGUGUUGGUGGAGUUUGCCACAGUAUAGAAAGUAUUUGAUGCUUCUGAAUAGUAUGUGACAACUUAAAGUAAUUGGGGUGUUUUCUUCUAAAAUUGGUCAUCUACGGUCAUCUAAUCUGAUUUUUAGAUUUGUUUUAGAACUUAAUGGUACUUCAUGUUGGUUCUUUGGUUGCUGUCCAUGAGACAUCAUAAAUAAUUAACUACUUGAAUCAGGCUGUUUAGGUCCACAUCGUUCUUAACAGAUCAAAAAGAAUUUUCUC